GCCUCACUGCGAGCUCUCAGGCUCCUCGGUUCCCUCUUCAAAGCUUCCUUCACGGGUGAGAGGCCCUGCGAAGGGAGAAGGUUUUUAUGAGGUGCUAGGGACCCAUUUUUGAGGCCUUACAUGUCUGCAGAAUGUUGGCAGUUUCUUCAGGACACUUAGGUUUCAGGUUUGGCAGCACUAACUGGAAAGCAUCUGUGGGUCUUUAAGAAGGAGGGUGCGGCCUCAUGGCAACGAGAGGCCUCUUUUAACCACCCUAUCUAAGGGAGCCCCCUCCGGUCCCCCUGUCCCCCUCCUCCCACUUAGGCCGGAAGCUCCAGAAGGCUCAGAGCCUGCCGGGUCGCCCAGCACAUAACAGGCACCUGAUAAAUAUUCAUGAAGUGAAGGAAUGGGCAGCGAGUGAACGAAGGAAUGAGCAAACGAAUGAUUAGGCGAGUUGCCAAAGGUUCCGUGAGUCGCCUGGAAGCCGACUGGCUGGCCUGAGCCUGUGUCCUCAUACGUCCUGCCUGCCUUGCACCUUGCCCGGGCCCUCUGGCCCCUCAUCCCAGACUGACUGGCAACCCGAGGGCGGGAGCAGUGGCCCUGGGGACACAGCGUGGGGCCAGGCACAGGGGGGCUAUUCAGUAAAGGCUGGCUGCAAAGUCCUCACCCCCCCCCCCCACGCCCCCAUUCGAACCUUCCCCAGUCCGGAGCGCUCUCUGCUUUCCUGCAAAUGAAGACUCCAAGCAGCUUGUCUUCUCAGAGACCGGGUGGGGGUGGCAGUGGGGAGAAGGGGCCCUUGGGGGAAAGCAUCCAGCCUGGGGGGACAGGGUGGGGCCGCGUAGGACUGCCAUCCCCUCCUCAGCCUGGGUUCUGGAAAGGUCCUGACUUGUUCUCCUCAGCCUCUGAGUGAGUUUCCAAGGACACUCUGGGCUCUCAGGGACAGGUGAUGAAAUGGAAUCUCAGAGAGGCCAAGCCAUUUGCCUGAGGUCACAAAGCAUUUUCAGACCAGGCCCCAAGGCUCUUUCAGAGAGGGAUGGGAGGAGAGGAGAAAAGUGCAUCCAGUUCAUCUCCCCGGAAGUAGAAGCCACCACAAGGGGGCGCCUGGGUGGCUCAGUCGGUUGAGCGGCUGACUUCAGCUCAGGUCAUGAUCCCUCGUUCAUGAGC